GGUCCCGUAGCUCAGUUGGUUAGAGCGUCGUACUAAUACUUCCCAAAUUGGGAAAUAUCGGUGAUGCGAAGGUCGCGGGUUCGACCCCCUCCGGGACCA